UGUAGUUAACAUAUGAUUCAAUCUCUCUACUGUAAGUCCCGACUAGAUAGCAGAUCAUGGAUAAAUCAUCAAACCUCAACAUCAAUCAUAUGAUACAUUUGAUUAGCUCAAGUCCAAUUAUGAUUUUUAUAAAAAAAAAUUUCAUCAAUCACACUACUGUGGCCACAGACUCUUGGAUUUAACCUCUCAAACUUCAUAGGACUACUCCUCUCUAUCAAGGUCGAUAGAUCCUAUCUUGAUGCACACUCUACUCCUAC
rnacentral:lncRNA from 1 species